GGUUAAGCGACUAAGCGUACACGGUGGAUGCCCUGGCAGUCAGAGGCGAUGAAGGACGUGCUAAUCUGCGAUAAGCGUCGGUAAGGUGAUAUGAACCGUUAUAACCGGCGAUUUCCGAAUGGGGAAACCCAGUGUGUUUCGACACACUAUCAUUAACUGAAUCCAUAGGUUAAUGAGGCGAACCGGGGGAACUGAAACAUCUAAGUACCCCGAGGAAAAGAAAUCAACCGAGAUUCCCCCAGUAGCGGCGAGCGAACGGGGAGCAGCCCAGAGCCUGAAUCAGUGUGUGUGUUAGUGGAAGCGUCUGGAAAGGCGCGCGAUACAGGGUGACAGCCCCGUACACAAAAAUGCACAUACUGUGAGCUCGAUGAGUAGGGCGGGACACGUGGUAUCCUGUCUGAAUAUGGGGGGACCAUCCUCCAAGGCUAAAUACUCCUGACUGACCGAUAGUGAACCAGUACCGUGAGGGAAAGGCGAAAAGAACCCCGGCGAGGGGAGUGAAAAAGAACCUGAAACCGUGUACGUACAAGCAGUGGGAGCCUCUUUUAUGGGGUGACUGCGUACCUUUUGUAUAAUGGGUCAGCGACUUAUAUUCUGUAGCAAGGUUAACCGAAUAGGGGAGCCGAAGGGAAACCGAGUCUUAACUGGGCGUUAAGUUGCAGGGUAUAGACCCGAAACCCGGUGAUCUAGCCAUGGGCAGGUUGAAGGUUGGGUAACACUAACUGGAGGACCGAACCGACUAAUGUUGAAAAAUUAGCGGAUGACUUGUGGCUGGGGGUGAAAGGCCAAUCAAACCGGGAGAUAGCUGGUUCUCCCCGAAAGCUAUUUAGGUAGCGCCUCGUGAAUUCAUCUCCGGGGGUAGAGCACUGUUUCGGCAAGGGGGUCAUCCCGACUUACCAACCCGAUGCAAACUGCGAAUACCGGAGAAUGUUAUCACGGGAGACACACGGCGGGUGCUAACGUCCGUCGUGAAGAGGGAAACAACCCAGACCGCCAGCUAAGGUCCCAAAGUCAUGGUUAAGUGGGAAACGAUGUGGGAAGGCCCAGACAGCCAGGAUGUUGGCUUAGAAGCAGCCAUCAUUUAAAGAAAGCGUAAUAGCUCACUGGUCGAGUCGGCCUGCGCGGAAGAUGUAACGGGGCUAAACCAUGCACCGAAGCUGCGGCAGCGACACUAUGUGUUGUUGGGUAGGGGAGCGUUCUGUAAGCCUGUGAAGGUGUACUGUGAGGUAUGCUGGAGGUAUCAGAAGUGCGAAUGCUGACAUAAGUAACGAUAAAGCGGGUGAAAAGCCCGCUCGCCGGAAGACCAAGGGUUCCUGUCCAACGUUAAUCGGGGCAGGGUGAGUCGACCCCUAAGGCGAGGCCGAAAGGCGUAGUCGAUGGGAAACAGGUUAAUAUUCCUGUACUUGGUGUUACUGCGAAGGGGGGACGGAGAAGGCUAUGUUGGCCGGGCGACGGUUGUCCCGGUUUAAGCGUGUAGGCUGGUUUUCCAGGCAAAUCCGGAAAAUCAAGGCUGAGGCGUGAUGACGAGGCACUACGGUGCUGAAGCAACAAAUGCCCUGCUUCCAGGAAAAGCCUCUAAGCAUCAGGUAACAUCAAAUCGUACCCCAAACCGACACAGGUGGUCAGGUAGAGAAUACCAAGGCGCUUGAGAGAACUCGGGUGAAGGAACUAGGCAAAAUGGUGCCGUAACUUCGGGAGAAGGCACGCUGAUAUGUAGGUGAAGUCCCUCGCGGAUGGAGCUGAAAUCAGUCGAAGAUACCAGCUGGCUGCAACUGUUUAUUAAAAACACAGCACUGUGCAAACACGAAAGUGGACGUAUACGGUGUGACGCCUGCCCGGUGCCGGAAGGUUAAUUGAUGGGGUCAGCGCAAGCGAAGCUCUUGAUCGAAGCCCCGGUAAACGGCGGCCGUAACUAUAACGGUCCUAAGGUAGCGAAAUUCCUUGUCGGGUAAGUUCCGACCUGCACGAAUGGCGUAAUGAUGGCCAGGCUGUCUCCACCCGAGACUCAGUGAAAUUGAACUCGCUGUGAAGAUGCAGUGUACCCGCGGCAAGACGGAAAGACCCCGUGAACCUUUACUAUAGCUUGACACUGAACAUUGAGCCUUGAUGUGUAGGAUAGGUGGGAGGCUUAGAAGUGUGGACGCCAGUCUGCAUGGAGCCGACCUUGAAAUACCACCCUUUAAUGUUUGAUGUUCUAACGUUGACCCGUGAUCCGGGUUGCGGACAGUGUCUGGUGGGUAGUUUGACUGGGGCGGUCUCCUCCUAAAGAGUAACGGAGGAGCACGAAGGUUGGCUAAUCCUGGUCGGACAUCAGGAGGUUAGUGCAAUGGCAUAAGCCAGCUUGACUGCGAGCGUGACGGCGCGAGCAGGUGCGAAAGCAGGUCAUAGUGAUCCGGUGGUUCUGAAUGGAAGGGCCAUCGCUCAACGGAUAAAAGGUACUCCGGGGAUAACAGGCUGAUACCGCCCAAGAGUUCAUAUCGACGGCGGUGUUUGGCACCUCGAUGUCGGCUCAUCACAUCCUGGGGCUGAAGUAGGUCCCAAGGGUAUGGCUGUUCGCCAUUUAAAGUGGUACGCGAGCUGGGUUUAGAACGUCGUGAGACAGUUCGGUCCCUAUCUGCCGUGGGCGCUGGAGAACUGAGGGGGGCUGCUCCUAGUACGAGAGGACCGGAGUGGACGCAUCACUGGUGUUCGGGUUGUCAUGCCAAUGGCACUGCCCGGUAGCUAAAUGCGGAAGAGAUAAGUGCUGAAAGCAUCUAAGCACGAAACUUGCCCCGAGAUGAGUUCUCCCUGAGACUAUAAGUCUCCUGAAGGAACGUUGAAGACGACGACGUUGAUAGGCCGGGUGUGUAAGCGCAGCGAUGCGUUGAGCUAACCGGUACUAAUGAACCGUGAGGCUUAACCUU
rnacentral:rRNA from 1 species